UUCAAUCAAAAUGGAACCUGGGAGUGGCCCCUGUUUUUCUAAAAUGAACCAAAACAAUGGGGCUUUAGAACAACAGAAAAUAACAUACUUUACAUAUAUUAUUACCUUAAUUUAGGUUCAGUUUAAAUGUCCCGAUGCUCCAAUUUCUCCCUUGGAUUGAAGAUCUAACACAAGGUUACCUUUCUUGUAUUGACAUCUGAAACUGAAAACAAUUUAACACAUCAAUAUGCCUUGUUGAACAUUUAUCUAGUUGCAUUAAGCCUAGCACAUUAAGAAUAAAUUUCUAUACUUCAUAUGUGUGCGACUCUCCUGUUCCUAAAAAAACUCCCAUGUCAGGAUAAUCUUCCUAGUACAACAGCUUGAUGCAUUUCCUUGAAAGAUUAUAUACCAACCAUCAUUAUGAAGUUUCAGAGAUGAACACAAAAUCCUUAAUUUGGUUUGUUAUAAACUAUAACUGAAGGAUAUAAGCAUAAACACAGCAGUCAGUUAGCAUAUGCUAAAUAAUAACGGGAGAGGGAUAAGUGAUAUUCAGAUUCUUCCAUGCUUCUCAAAUUCGAAGGGAUAAGUGAAUGUACCAAAGACUGUAAUUCGUACAGUAGGCAUGUCAACUGAAAACAGAAAUAGAUGAGUACGUAUGGCAGGUAGGAAACAUCAAUUUUAUCCUUCCCUAGAUCACAGGAAGCAAAUAUUAGUUGGGCUCAUAUAACCAGCAACAUGGAGAGACAACAUAACCCUUACGACUGCUCAACCAUGGGAGGCGGAACCUUGCUCAAUUUUCCUUCGCAUCUGCGAGUCGCUUGGGGAUC
rnacentral:lncRNA from 1 species